rnacentral:rRNA from 1 species
AUGAACGCUGGCGGCGUGCCUAAUACAUGCAAGUCGAGCGAACAGACGAGGAGCUUGCUCCUCUGACGUUAGCGGCGGACGGGUGAGUAACACGUGGAUAACCUACCUAUAAGACUGGGAUAACUUCGGGAAACCGGAGCUAAUACCGGAUGAUAUAUUGAACCGCAUGGUUCAAUAGUGAAAGACGGUUUUGCUGUCACUUAUAGAUGGAUCCGCGCCGCAUUAGCUAGUUGGUAAGGUAACGGCUUACCAAGGCAACGAUGCGUAGCCGACCUGAGAGGGUGAUCGGCCACACUGGAACUGAGACACGGUCCAGACUCCUACGGGAGGCAGCAGUAGGGAAUCUUCCGCAAUGGGCGAAAGCCUGACGGAGCAACGCCGCGUGAGUGAUGAAGGUCUUCGGAUCGUAAAACUCUGUUAUUAGGGAAGAACAAAUGUGUAAGUAACUAUGCACGUCUUGACGGUACCUAAUCAGAAAGCCACGGCUAACUACGUG